AAGCGAAACCGCCCCGGCCUGGCCGGGGCGGUCUGCCCAGCGCGGUGGCUGGGUACUGACGAGCAGCCGAGG
rnacentral:hammerhead_ribozyme from 1 species